CAGGUCUUGAAAAACCUUGGAGGGAAACUGUCUGGACUAAUAGAGACCAGAUGGUGGAGAAACUCAGAACAUUCCCGCUGAAUGAUCCUGAAUUUGGCAUUAUGAGAAUCCUGCUGCAUGGACCUGUUGGGGCAGGAAAGUCCAGCUUUAUCAACUCAGUCAAAAGUGCCUUUGCUGGACGUGUGGUCAUGAGUGUGCUAGUAGCGUCUCUUUCCGACAUUAGCUUUACCAGCAAAUAUGAAACACAUUAUAUUAAAGAGGGAGAAGGACGUUCACCUUUUGUGUU